UGUCAUUGUAAGCACAAGACUGACACUAUGAACAAUGUUCAGCAGAACCAGGAGGAUGCUUCUGUGAAAAUGUCUGAACAGGUAAAAGCACAGGAAGAUUGCAGGGAGAAAGAAAAUCAGUAUCAUGAACACCAGUACUCAAAUCUCCUUGAAGUUCAUGCAAGAGCACAGAGAAACAUAGCAAUCUUGCAGCAAGGAAUUUCUGAAUUUUCACAAAAGCUUCAUGCAGCAGAGGUAGAGUCCCACUCACUGCACCUGCAACUUGAAGAAUUCAAAUGGACAUUCAAGGAGAUGCAAAAAGAUUCUGAAAAAGCCCACAGACUGCAAGAGCAAUUAAAUGAACUUCAGCAUAGCCUCUCUGAUGCAAGGGUGGAGCUGUGGAGAAGAGACCAAGCUCUGAAUCAGCAGAAGAAACUCCUGAAGGACAUGGAGCAGGACCGGCAGUGGCUGCGGGAGGCUCUCCAGGAGGCAGAAGAUGCCCUCCAAC
rnacentral:lncRNA from 1 species